rnacentral:lncRNA from 1 species
UUGUUUUUGGAAAGAGCGCUAUACAAUGUUAAUUUCUUCACUGAUGAGUCAAUGGAUGAAUGAAAGGAUGUCUUCUUUAAACUGCUGCACGUUGGUGGGAUAUGAUGCUAGAAGGGACCUCAGGGAUGAUUCCAGGCCAGAAUGUUGACGGCUCCCAACCAAAGAGAAAAAUUCAGAUUAUAGACAUGUUUUCCCAGGACAUGCACUCAUAAAUCUGUAUCAGUCACUAACAAUCUCGGGAUGAACAAGUUCACUAUUGUCGACUUUGGAAACUAGCUAGGAGCUGGAAUUCUGAUGGGGAAAUAAACAUCAUUUUAGAUCCAGGAAGUUCAGAAUGAAAAUGAAAAAGCAGAUCUAGAUGGAAUGCUUCUAGAAGGCAAAGGAAGGUGCAGUGGACAGAGGUGGUGUCCAGGCCCUGGCACUGAUAUGGGGUCUCACUCUGUC